rnacentral:tRNA from 2 species
GCAGCGGUAGUUCAGUUGGUUAGAAUACCGGCCUGUCACGCCGGGGGUCGCGGGUUCGAGCCCCGCCCGCUGCGCCA